UACAGAGGUGGCAAGCGUUGUUCGGAAUUACUGGGCGUAAAGCGUGCGCAGGCGGUUAUGCAAGGCAGAUGUGAAAUCCCCGGGCUCAACCUGGGAACUGCAUUUGUGACUGCAUAGCUAGAGUGCGGCAGAGGGAGAUGGAAUUCCGCGUGUAGCAGUGAAAUGCGUAGAUAUGCGGAGGAACACCGAUGGCGAAGGCAAUCUCCUGGGCCUGCACUGACGCUCAUGCACGAAAGCGUGGGGAGCAAACAGG
rnacentral:rRNA from 1 species